GACGAACGCUGGCGGCGUGCCUAACACAUGCAAGUCGAGCGAGGAAUGUCGGAUAGCUUGCUAUUUGAUAUUUCUAGCGGCGGACGGGUGAGUAACGCGUGAGCAACCUGCCUUUAUCAGGGGGAUAACGCAUCGAAAGAUGUGCUAAUACCGCGUAAGACCACAGCCUCACAUGGGGCAGGGGUCAAAGGAGCAAUCCGGAUAAAGAUGGGCUCGCGUCCGAUUAGCUAGUUGGUGAGAUAACAGCCCACCAAGGCGACGAUCGGUAGCCGACCUGAGAGGGUGAUCGGCCACAUUGGAACUGAGAGACGGUCCAGACUCCUACGGGAGGCAGCAGUGGGGAAUAUUGGGCAAUGGGCGAAAGCCUGACCCAGCAACGCCGCGUGAGGGAAGAAGGGUUUCGGCUCGUAAACCUCUGUCCUAUGGG
rnacentral:rRNA from 1 species